UUGGUGAUCAGCACUGAACACAGACCACCAAGCAUGGAAUUUGGGCUGAGCUGGGUUUUCCUUGUAGCUAUUUUGAAAGGUGUCCAGUGUGAGGUGCAGCUGGUGGAGUAUGGGGGAGGCUUGGUACAGCGUGGGGGGUCCCUGAGACUCUCCUGUGGAUUCACCUUCAGUGUCCACUUCAUGAGCUGGGUCCACCAGGCUCCAGCAAAGGGGCUGGAGUGGGUAGGUUUCAUGAGAAACAAAGCUAAUGGUGGAACAACAGAAUACGCCACGUCUGUGAAAGGCAGAUCCACUAUCUCAAGAGCUAAUUCCAAAAGCAUGGCCAGUCUGCAAAUGAGCAGCCUGAAAACCGAGGACACGGCCGUGUAUUACUGUGCCAGAAGCACAGUGAGGGGAACUCAGUUCUUCACAAAUCAUAACAUUACUUCUUACCUUGUAAAUAUAAGGCGCUGCAGGAGUCGGCGGCCAGCGCGGAGCAGAGGAAGAGGCCGUGAGAUCCACAGAGAGAAGCAGAAGAACACGCAGCUGAGGAGGAGGAUGGAGGAGCUGGAGGCCGAGCUCCGAGAACAGGAGGCAGAGCUGGAAGAUCUCCGGAAACAAAGUGAACUCACACCUCAGCUCACGUCAGAGCGCGACGGUGUCUCUGAGAAGAUGGAGGCGGCAGAGAGACGAUCAAAACCCGGGAGACAAAGCGGGUUCCCUAAAGACAGACGCUGA